rnacentral:lncRNA from 13 species
GUUAUUUCAAGAAAUAAUUACAUUAAUUUUAGUUGGAUUAAGACAACAAAUAUUAGUCUAAAUGUGUCCCUUUUCUUCAUAUUUCUUUACCCUUUCUCCUGAUGGAUUCAGAACACACUACCCCAGUACAGCACUUUGGUAUACUGAGUAUUUUAAGUUAAAGGAAUUUGAGAAAAUUGCAGAAGCAGGAAGGUCUCUGACCAUCUUUCAUCCUUCUUCCCUUAAGUGGUCCAUAAAACUUAGAAUUUUCUGUUCUUCCCCUGAAAUAGGUCAUAAGACCCUUGCGUAAGUGGUACCCACCCUAUAAUCAGAAGAACAGAACAUCCUUCUCUCUGAAGACAGCAGAAGUUAUGAGCUGAGACCAAGUCCACUGACAUAACAUUAGAUGAGAAAAUAAAAGCAAAGAAGUAUUUAAGAACUUGCCUACAAUCACGUGAUUUCACAAACAGAUGAACAAGACCCCAGAUGAAGACCUAGAGUUAACAGAAGGCUCCCAUUCUUAUAUAUAUGUGAUUAAUCUUUCUCCAGUGUACAUCAGAAUUGCUCUAAUACAUUGGGAUUGUUUACAGAGGUCUUUGCAUCUUACUGAACUACCUAAUUGCCUUAGGGACCACAUGAUUCCUGGCUCAAAAAGAUUGUCAUCAUCCUUACAGCAUUAUAAUAGGAUGUCUACUGGAUUGACUUCCUAG